CAGUAGCCACGGGAAUACGUAGGGCGCAAGCGUUAUCCGGAAUUAUUGGGCGUAAAGAGCUCGUAGGCGGUUUGUCGCGUCUGCCGUGAAAGUCCGGGGCUCAACCCCGGAUCUGCGGUGGGUACGGGCAGACUAGAGUGAUGUAGGGGAGACUGGAAUUCCUGGUGUAGCGGUGAAAUGCGCAGACAUCAGGAGGAACACCGAUGGCGAAGGCAGGUCUCUGGGCAUUAACUGACGCUGAGGAGCGAAAGCAUGGGGAGCGAACAGGAUUAGAUACCCCCGUAGUCCCUGUCUCUUAUAC
rnacentral:rRNA from 1 species